rnacentral:sRNA from 1 species
CCACCGUUUUCGCGUGGGCUAAACCGCU